GCUGGUUACAGCCCACCGCAGAGCACAGGGAACCUACGCACUGUUCCGAUAUGACCUGCACGGGGAAGAGAUCUGAGAAAGGACGGGCACAUGCGUGUGGGUCAUAUACGACUGGGCCACUUUGCUCUACAGCAGAAACUACACUAUCAUAACUAUAAAUCAGCUACUUUCCAAUAUGAAGUAAAAGUGUUUAAAAACAGAAAAAUGCUACUUACGCCUGGCUGCUUCACUAAGAGCUAAUCCUGUACUGUUUGGAGACCUUCGCUCACACAUCUUAGGAUAACGGAGGUUUGAUGACAGCUGUUUCUUUUAAACCUCAGCCUCCAGGGGUCCCAGGAGCAGGCCACCGGAGGAGACAGCGGUGCUAACGGGAUCCCAGCAGGAGCCAGCGCGGGCACACUCCCCGCUGCCCUCGGGACCCAUCUCGUCUCCAGACGGAAGGCGUCUCACCGGACGGAAGGCAGCUCGUCUUUCCCAGCGCUGAGCGAGCGCCAGGCCCCAGGCGGUAUAAAAGGGAGGGGCAGACUCAGCCCGGGCGCUGGGGACACGGGAGGACGUCCGCCCGCAGGAGCAGCCUGAGCAGCCGGGGAGGACCACAGAAUCAUGAGCAGAAGCUACAGCAUGAAGCACCACGGAAGGGUGACCUACGACGCCGAUGUGCUAAAGAUGUUUUGGGAGAAAAAAAUCGAGCUUCACAUGGAACAGCUGCAAAAGGAGGACAUGAGGAUCCGCAGAAGCGCCCUGGACAGGCUCCGUGACGAGUGGGCUCGGCAGCUGGAGAGGAGGAACCAGAUGCUGCAGAGCUCCCGGGAGGCGCCCCCGCAGCCAGCCCCGCCGGGCACCCCCGCCCUGCGCGCCGGGGACCAGCCAGCGGCCUGAGCGCGCUCCCCGUGGCCCGCGAGCGCCGCCCUUGCGGCAGCCCAGCCCCCCGCCCCGUGGUUUUGCGUCGCUAGCAUGAUGUACGCGCCCAAUAAAACCUCAGAUGAGUGGAUGGUUCGCGCCCAUUUCUCUUCAUAUCUGUAAAACGCACGCACACUAAAAGCGAACAUGUAACCUCCAACAAGUCAGAAGGAAAUCGCCGGACUGCGGGGACUUGGGCAGAUGUGAACACAAGUUAGUUCACCUCUGAUCAAAAUGUCUGCAAAAGCUCAGCCUAAGGACAGUCCCCAACGUGAAGCUGUGUAAAGCCGUGUGCUCCCCAAGUCCCUUCAAAGUCCUCACUCACCACCGCGUCAUCUCAGGAAGCGACGCAGCCUCUUCCUCACUUGAGUUUGGAGGCACAGUCUCUGGAGGCCGCAGAGGCCGAUAGGGCUGGGACUCAAUGUUUCAGUGUCGCCCCUGCCUGUCCCCCCAGUGGGGGCUGUGACCUCCCCAGGCCCCCGGAUGAGCAGGGGGCUUGAGCCAGCAGCAGAGGCUGGGCUGAGACAGGAGGACCGGGAGCCAACCGGAGGCCCGCCAGGGCUGCGUCCCCUCCACACGACCCUCAGUGGGAGCCUCCACGGCCCCUCGCUGGCAGGACGGGACUCCUGGAAGGGGGCUGGGGCCCGGCUGUGCGUCUCUGCAGAUCGCAUGACGGGGAGGACAGAUCUGACUCCACCUCAGGUCUUUAACCUUUGUGUUGGGGCGCCUUUGCUAUGAGUUAGCAAUGUUGGCUACGGCUUGAAAUACACAGGUCAGCCCAGUCUCAAGGCUCCGACCUUUUCAGGCAUAAUACUUUCUCAUUCAUACAGAGAUAAAAAGUGGCAGAACAGAGGAUGACAUUUUCCCCUUGGAGGUUUACAGGAACAUCGUGACCUGACCUACAUGGGCAGCUGCAAGAACAAAGGAGUCCCAUAGCAAGAAGUUCACCACAAGCAGCCAAACCCCCUCCGCUUUCAGUAUAAAAGGAUCCUGAAGUCUAAGUCGGCCGAGACACUCUUCGGGACUCUGGCCCGCCCUUGUCUCCGUCUGCUGGCUCUCUGAGUAAAGUUGCUGCUCUGUGCCACAGCUCAUCUCCCCAUUUACUGGGCUGCUGUGUAGUGAACAGUACAGCUUUGGACUCCAUAACAGCUGGGUUUGGGUUCUGUUUUGUUCUGACCCCCGAUCCAGUUGACAAGGAGGGAGGGGUUGUGGGAGCUUCUCCAGAGACUUAACCAAAGGAAAAAAAGCCAACACAAAUGGCCACGUGGCAUCCACGGUAUUUCCAGAGCUGUCCAUAGUAGACUGGACCACAAGCGAAUAUCCAGCAGAAAAGGUCCGGAACCUGACACAAACACGGGUGCUUGCCUCGCCAAAUGGCCCAGUGGAGGGGGCCCAGAGAAGGCCCGCACAACACCAACCUGCAAACACACCUUUCUGGGCCACCCUGCAAGCUGUCCAUCAGAGCUCGUGACUCAGGACAUUCCACUGAUGAGCACGCGGGGAAUGUGGUGACUAACAGCCCUAAAACUAGCUGGAGAAUAGAAGUCCGUCACUAAGACUCGAAAAGCCCCAAGCUGCUCCAGGGUAAUUUCAUCUGAUGAUGUGCUUAGAGCUCCGCGCUGUCAACACGGAUAAAGAGAGACGUCUGCUUGGACCGUCUGGGGGACGGGCGUGUUGGUCCUGAACCCCAUCCUCAGGGCCCGCCACGCUGCAGUGACCCGCUGACCUUCCUCCUCGUGGCAGAAGCCAGGGUGGCAUAGAGACAAGGCUCUUUACCAGCCGCAGCUUCUCCGUCACUGAUCUUUGUCUGGGCAAAGCUGAGCUACCCCAGAGACCGGAGGGUGCUUCAUGCUGGGC
ensembl:lincRNA